UACAGAGGGUGCGAGCGUUGUCCGGAAUCACUGGGCGUAAAGAGCUCGUAGGCGGCUUGUCGCGUCGACUGUGAAAUCCCGCGGCUCAACUGCGGGUCUGCAGUCGAUACGGGCAGGCUAGAGUUCGGUAGGGGAGACUGGAAUUCCUGGUGUAGCGGUGAAAUGCGCAGAUAUCAGGAGGAACACCGGUGGCGAAGGCGGGUCUCUGGGCCGAUACUGACGCUGAGGAGCGAAAGCGUGGGGAGCGAACAGG
rnacentral:rRNA from 1 species